rnacentral:lncRNA from 1 species
AGCAGUCUUUUUAAGCUCGCAAGAAUCAGUCAUCGAUGAUGCUUCCUUAUGUGGAUAUUCAAAGAUGACCUAUCGCCGUUCCUGGUGGUUGCAUUUCCGGGAAUAUCCCAAUCGAGCCCAUUGGCCUGGCUGGGUCUCCCGCGGGAGCUAAAAAUGAGUGGGCAAUUGUGCUCCCUCUCCUCCAAUCUCCGUGCUGAUACCAAGCUCCCAGACAUCAAUGCUUCAGAGUUUAAUCAUGUUUUUUGCCGGCUCUUAUCAUCCUAACUCACUAGUGCUUCGCUUUAGGAUACUCCGUUACGUAACAGCAAGAGUGAUUUGACAUUUAAGGUAAGCAGAGUUUUUUUCUUUAAAAACGGACUUAUUAUGCCGAAAGGAAAAAUAUGGGAUUUGCGCCCCCAGUGGAUUUUUUAUUUAAUUGAUCUGUCCACAAUUGAGGAGCUUUCUAGGAAAAGGGUCUGGAUGAAAAAAAUCGCAUUUGAAGCUUUCAUAUGACUUUCUGGCCACUGACGACGGUGAUUUACGUUGGAAUUUGGGCACUUAUAUAAAAUUUAAUACACCCUUGAAUGAAGAACGACCAUUGGUAAAACUUACACUUCUUUAAAUAGUGUGGGAGAAAUUAUUAUAAUGUUCAGUUUCAUGGGCCCUGUUUCGGAAAUGGGCCCGUGGUCAUUGGUUUUUGACACAUCAACGAGUUUAAAAAAAAAAAAAAAAAAAAAUAUCAAUCUCCUCUGCAUAACAAAAAAUCUACUUUGGCUGUUAAAAGUAUUCAAAGAAAAAUAAGAAAAAGCUGCAUUUCAUUAUUUUUCUCCACCUUAAAAUACGCUCUUCUCCUUUCUUUUUGAAUACUUUUGACAAAUAAAGAUUUUUUACUAUGUGUGGCAGAUGAGAUUAAUGAACUUUGUUUUCGUUUAAAAAUUCGUGCAUGUCUCAAAAGUGCAGCUUUAAAAGCCACCGGUCCAUUUCCGGGCAUAGGGCUCAUAACGGAAACUUUUAAAAAUUCCUUCCAAGACACUUCACUAGAAUUGCAGUUUUUCCGAUGAUCGUUCUUUAUUCGAACGUGUGUAAACUUUGAUCGUUGCCUCCAAGUCCGAUGUAAGCCAGGAAAAAUUAUUGAUAUCUAUAAAUGCGAUCUCUAGAUUUGGGCCCUUUCUCCGAAAACUCCUCAAUUUCUUUUAGUCUAAAUACGUUCAUACCGGGAUGUAGCGUGACCGUCCUCGGAAAAAGAGACCUUGGUCCAGGAGAACUUAAAAUUGGGUCACUGAUACCAGUGCAUAUGCAAGUAUUGUGUUUUAUAUAAUAUUAAGGAAAUAACGCCCGAAAAUGUUGAAACAACUCGAGGUAAUGGCGGUUUGUAGUUAACAGUUGAGCAGACUCAACCGGGAUCAGUCUAAUUUGUAAUUCACGUUGCCUAAUCUCCUUACGUUUUAUAUUUUUUCCCUUUUCCAGAGAACCAAAUAACAAAAGGCCUUGAAACUUUAUGUACAUCUCCCUUAGCUUAAAAGUAAUACAUAGCAGAUUCUUGUUUAUCCGGUAUUCCAUCAUUCGAAACGAUUUCCACGGAGCUUGCAUUAGUUUUUUAUCAGCAAUUAAUACAAUCCUUUUCAGGGGACACUUCUACAUUGAAUGCUACUUACUCAAAAGGCGCAAUCAUUUUUCGCGAUUUUUUUUCUUUGAAUUGAAGCUUUAGCUAAAAUCGUGCUUGAUGACUGA